rnacentral:lncRNA from 1 species
GGACAUCUAUGUACUGAUCUGCGAGACUUUAUUAGACAUCCCAUUUUUACACCAUUGAGAACAAUGAAACCUAGCUGUUUUUAUACCAAUUUGUCAAGACCCAAAAAUGAGGGUCAUGAUGACACUUGUUGCGGCGUACCUUGACAAGUAAGCCUAUCACCCAAACUGAUAUAAAAAGAAGAAAAGACAGAAAUAUCCCAAAGUAAGGC